GACGAACGCUGGCGGCGUGCUUAACACAUGCCAGUCGAACGGGCCCGCCCCUGUUUUUGGGGGUGGGUUGAGUGGCGAACGGGUGAGUAUCACGUGAGUAACCUGCCCCCUGCUCCUGGAUAACUGCUUGAAAGGGCGGCUAAUACGGGGUGUGCCGGCUGGUCCGCAUGGGCCUGGUCGGGAUAGUUUCAUCUUCGGGUGUUUCGGUGGGGGAUGGGCUCGCGGCCUAUCAGCUUGUUGGUGGGGUGAUGGCCCACCAAGGCGGUGACGGGUAGCCGGCCUGAGAGGGUGGGCGGCCACACUGGGACUGAGACACGGCCCAGACUGCUGCGGGAGGCAGCAGUGGGGGGUAUUGCACAAUGGGCGGAAGCCUGAUGCAGCGACGUCGCGUGAGGGAUGGAGGCCUUCGGGUUGUGAACCUCUUUCUCCGGUGGUGAAGGCCCUGUCCGUUGCGGCGGGGUUGACGGUAGCCGGGUAUGAAGCGCCGGCUAACUACGUG
rnacentral:rRNA from 1 species